rnacentral:tRNA from 1 species
AACCUAUUAGCUCAAAUGGUAGAGUACUAUGCAUAUGCAUAGGGGAUGUAGGUUCGAUUCCUACAUAGGUUG